GAUUCUGUUGUGGUGGGCAUGUCGGGGUGAGAGAAUGACGUCUAAUCCAAUUGUUCCGAUGUCACAACUCACGAGACACUCCGAGGCCACCCCUCUCCCUUAACGCUUUAUAUUCUUCAAUCAAACCCCAUUCUUUCUUUCUUUCUUCUUUUACUGUUGAAAUCAAAUCACCUUUUGCUCCUAGAGUUACUUCAGAUUUUGGUUCUUGAUCCAAAAUUAUAUACAUUACUUGUUAUUCAAUACCCUCAUUCUUUUUUGGGUUUGGGUUUGGGUCUGUGGGUAUCUGGUAGAUCCUCUCAAGAUUUACUUUUCUAUUUGGGUUUUUUCUUAAUGUAUCAAUCCUAAUUUUUUAUAUAUAGGAAUUGCUUCUUGCUGUAUAGGUCUAUUCCUGUUAUUGAUCGUAAUAUGAAUGAACAUUAUGGAAAUUCAAGAGCAAGCUCGAGUUCUCCCUCUAGUUUGAAUAGCAGUUCACAAGGUACUGAGGAUGAUCAUGCCAUUGCGAAAAUCUUGGCGGAAGAAGAAGAAAUUGCUUCGAGGUAUGGGGGCAAGCUUGGGAACAGACUCUCUCAUUUGGACUCAAUCCCGCACACUCCAAGGGUUAUUGGGCAGAUACCUGAUCCUAAUGAUGCCACACUUGACCACGGGAGGCUAUCUGGCAGGUUGGCAGCAUAUGGCCUUGCUGAGUUUCAAAUUCAAGGAGAUGGAAAUUGCCAGUUUCGAGCCCUUGCAGAUCAGUUGUAUCAUAAUCCAGAGUAUCAUAAGCAUGUGAGGAAGGAGGUUGUCAAACAGCUAAAGCAUUUCAGAAAGUUUUAUGAAAGUUAUGUUCCCAUGAAAUACAAAAGCUACCUGAAGAAGAUGAAGAGGUUGAGGGAAUGGGGAGAUCAUAUCACUCUCCAAGCAGCUGCAGAUCAAGUAAUAUGGAGUAAAAAUAUGUUUGGUCACUUCUUUUCGCGAAAAUGGCUACAUUGAGAUUCUUCCUAAGGACAUACAGCCUUCUAGAGAAUUGUGGCUGAGUUUCUGGAGUGAAGUGCACUACAAUUCUCUAUACGUAAUUGGAGAGGUGCCUGCUAGAGUGCGCAGAAAGAAGCAUUGGCUUUUUUGAGGCUUUCACCAGUUAAAGUAUUGAGACUUACAUUUGAGUGUAAUGCCUUGAAGAAACACAUUAUACAUGGAGGAUGUCCAAGAUUCGAGUCGAUCUGUGUGGAGUACUCUACUGCACUCAUUACUCUUUACUCUUUUCCGACGAUUACUGAGUACUUGAUAGUGGAUGCGACUAUAUCAACAAUCUUUAUAUAUGCAUAUUUAGUAUUUACAUAAAUGUGAAACUGCAACUGGUCUAUGCCUGGAUAUCUGAAAAGGGUUACAACCAGCAUAAAAAUAGUCCAAUUAGGAAUCAUCGUAACAUAUAAUGAGCUGCAUAGUUAUAGAGAAUUCAUAUGGGGUCUUGUUUGAGAUUGAGGGGUAAUGAACAUAUAUAGUUUGAAUACAAAUACAUAAGAGCUCACUAUACUCAGUGUAUUAGUAGUAUUUAAUUAGCUAGUUGGUAUAUUGCAUAGCCAUCUCAUAACUUAUAAGGAAUAUGUACUUUCAGGAUAAUCUUUAUUAAUAUUAUAUGCUCCUUAUAGUUUUUCUUU